GACGAACGCUGGCGGCGUGCCUAACACAUGCAAGUCGAACGGAGAUAAAGAUUUCGGUUUUUAUCUUAGUGGCGCACGGGUGAGUAACACGUGAAUAACCUGACCCAAAGAGGGGGAUAACACCUGGAAACAGGUGCUAAUACCGCAUAAGACCACAAUGUCGCAUGACGAAGGGGUCAAAGAAAAUCGCUUUGGGAGGGGUUCGCGUCCCAUUAGGUAGUAGGCGGGGUAACGGCCCACCUAGCCGACGAUGGGUAGCCGAGCUGAGAGGCUGAUCGGCCACACUGGAACUGAGACACGGUCCAGACUCCUACGGGAGGCAGCAGUGGGGAAUAUUGGGCAAUGGGCGCAAGCCUGACCCAGCAACGCCGCGUGAGGGAAGAAGGUUUUCGGAUUGUAAACCUCUGUCGCAGAAGACGAAGGAAGUGACGGUAUUCUGUGAGGAAGCCCCGGCUAACUACGUGCCAGCAGCCGCGGUAAUACGUAGGGGGCGAGCGUUGUCCGGAAUUACUGGGCGUAAAGGGAGCGUAGGCGGUCUGAUAAGUUGGAUGUGAAAUACCCGGGCUUAACUUGGGGGGUGCAUCCAAUACUGUUGGACUAGAGUACAGGAGAGGAAAGCGGAAUUCCUAGUGUAGCGGUGAAAUGCAUAGAUAUUAGGAGGAACAUCGGUGGCGAAGGCGGCUUUCUGGACUGCAACUGACGCUGAGGCUCGAAAGCGUGGGGAGCAAACAGGAUUAGAUACCCUGGUAGUCCACGCUGUAAACG
rnacentral:rRNA from 1 species